GACGAACGCUGGCGGCAUGCCUAAUACAUGCAAGUCGAGCGAACAGAUGAAGUGCUUGCACUUCUGACGUUAGCGGCGAACGGGUGAGUAACACGUAAGGAAUCUACCUAUAAGCGGGGGAUAACAUUCGGAAACGGGUGCUAAUACCGCAUAAUAUCUUCUUCCGCAUGGAAGGAGAUUGAAAGACGGCUCUGCUGUCACUUAUAGAUGACCUUGCGGUGCAUUAGUUAGUUGGUGGGGUAAUGGCCUACCAAGACGAUGAUGCAUAGCCGACCUGGGAGGGUGAUCGGCCACAUUGGGACUGAGACACGGCCCAAACUCCUACGGGAGGCAGCAGUAGGGAGUCUUCCGCAAUGGGCGAAAGCCUGACGGAGCAAUGCCGCGUGAGUGAAGAAGGCCUUCGGGUCGUAAAACUCUGUUAUAAGAGAAGAACAAAUUGUAGAGUAACUGCUACAGUCUUGACGGUAUCUUAUCAGAAAGCCACGGCUAACUACGUGCCAGCCGCCGCAGUAA
rnacentral:rRNA from 1 species